rnacentral:tRNA from 1 species
GUCAGGAUGGCCGAGCGGUCUAAGGCGCUGCGUUCAGGUCGCAGUCUACCCUGGAGGCGUGGGUUCGAAUCCCACACCUGACAAGCUUGCCUUUUGACACUCCACUGCACUCCAUCCCACCGCGAAAGACCCC